rnacentral:rRNA from 1 species
AUUGAACGCUGGCGGCAGGCCUAACACAUGCAAGUCGAGCGGGUGAAGGGAGCUUGCUCCUGGAUUCAUCGGCGGACGGGUGAGUAAUGCCUAGGAAUCUGCCUUGUAGUGGGGGAUGACGUCCGAAAACGGGCGCUAAUACCGCAUACGUCCUGAGGGAGACAGUGGAGGGUCUUCGGAUCUCACGCUAUCAUAUGAGCCUAGGUCGGAUUAGCUAGUUGGGGGGGUAGAGGCCUACGGAGGCGACGAUCCUUAACUGGUCUGAAAGGAUGAUCCGAUACACUGGAACUGAGAAACGGCCCAGACUCCGACAGUAGGCAGCAGUGGAGAAUAUUGGACGAUGGGCGAAAGCCUGAUCUAGCCAUGUCGGGUGUGUGAAGAAGGUCUUCGGAUUGUAAAGCAAUUUAAGUUUGGAGGAAGGGAAGUAAGUUAAUACCUUGCUGUUUUGACGUUACCAACAGAAUAAGCACCGGCUAACUUCGUG